rnacentral:misc_RNA from 1 species
UCCGGUUCAACACCGGCAGUCUUCUUAGAGUCCCCAACUAAAUGAUGGCAACUAAGAACAAGGGUUGCGCUCGUUACGGGACUUAACCCAACAUCUCACAACACGAGCUGACGACAGCCAUGCAGCACCUGUCUCUGCGCUCCUUUCGGCACCCCAGCCUCUAAGCCGGGUUCGCAGGAUGUCAAGAGUAGGUAAGGUUCUUCGCGUUGCAUCGAAUUAAACCACAUGCUCCACCGCUUGUGCGGGCCCCCGUCAAUUCCUUUGAGUUUCAACCUUGCGGCCGUACUUCCCAGGCGGAGAACUUAUCGCGUUAGCUUCGAUACCGAUAGGUUCCCCUACCAACAUCUAGUUCUCAUCGUUUACAGCGUGGACUAC